UCUUGAGGAACACAAAAUUGCAUAGAGCUGGGCUGGAAUGUGUAAUUGUAAAGAUUGGGAUUAAUUCAAAGAGCAAUCUGCAAAUUUGGAAAGAUUUGAGGCAACAACAAAGACUUACAUAAAUACAAGGAUUCAAUGCGAAAAUUCAUGAUAUUUGAUUGCAGACGCAAUUGAGCUUUUGUAGAUGACGACCCUAAGACUGAACCACCGGAGAUUCGCGGAGAUGAUGGUAGAGAUUUGCGGAGAUGAUGGACGAGAUUUCGGGGAGAUGAGCUGAGUACGGCAAGGAGGCAAAUUGGAGGACAUAUCUCAUGGUGGAGGCUGAGCACGGCGAGGAGCUCGAACCACCAUAGCUGAGCACGCCGAGGAGCUUGAACCACCAUAAAUUUCAUCAAGCUCACCACGACAAUGUUGAGCUUGGAAUCCAACUACCGCAUCUUUACUAAGCUCGAACAACUGCAGCUUCACGAGAUAAGAUGAGUACGGCGAGGAGCUCAAACCACCGCUCCUUCUCUUCACCGGAGCAGUCAUAUCAAAGUGAAAACUUUCUCUUAUUGCCUCGUUGACGUGAUUCAAGGAAAUCGUCGAGUGUUGAUAUCAACUCGUUACUAGAGACGCGACGGCUCUGCUUCGCAGUAGUGGAUUCAGUGCCGGUGGUCGACAAGUCUUGAUCCGGCUCCGUGGUCGCCGUCAACUCGUUGUCAAGACCGAAAAGUAAAAAAAAAUGAACUCAUAUUGGGCUCCGUCAAAUUCAAAUUUGUUGUCUGAAACUAUUCUAUCACAGGGUAGUGUCAUAUAGGUGUUCAUCUGUAACCACCUACAGCUCAAUUUCUUUGCAACCAAAAGAAAAUAGAUAUAAUGUGUUCUUGACCACAGCGUCAUCGUCAGUUUCAUUCACAACUCUGUUAGCCUGAAGAGAACCGCCUGGUGUUUGAGUUGGACAGAUUCAUGUUCCAUUCAUCUAGAAUUUGAAGCAAACUCUGGUGAUCUCUAUGGAAGGUUUAUAUACUCUUAUGAACUAUUUUUUGUGGUGAAAAUCGUUUGAAGAAAGGAGAUUUGGUGCACCUUCAGCUUAAAGAUGCCUCUGUCCUGAAUGCUUACCUGCUGGAUCAGGCUGCCAAUGAGUUUUAUUACCAGCCUACAAACUCCAACCGUUCGGUUAGUCACACAACAGUCAACACAAAACGUAUAGAAGGUACCUUUUUACUCACUUUGUAACUCAUGGUUAUCCUGCACUAUUUCUCACUUAAUAGUUUGUAAAGUAUAUAACUUUAGAUUCGACUUCUUCAGGCCAGUCCUUAAUUCGGUAUCCAUCCUGGUCUGCAUUCCUUGCUCAUUUUAAUUUAUAGUUGGGAACUCUAUAUGACUCGAAAAUAUGUUUUAGGUCGGCUCAAAACCAAGAUGUUGAUGUUAUGGUCAAUGCGUCUGAGGUGAAAAAGGCCGGAACGCUAACCAUUCGUGAGAUAUUUGCCUUCUUGAAAUAGGAACCCAUACAUACUAAGUACAUAUAAUACUUACUAUUUCCUAAUUAUAGACAGCCUUCUUAACUGCAUAGCCACCAUUAAUAAUGUUGUGUGGUACUCUAGCUGCUUGAUGUGCCCAAAAUGUGGGAACGUGAAUGCAAAAGAAUAUGGUGUACGUAUAUCUCCAACUUGAGGAGUAAGAACCAUACUAAUCCUAACAGUAUAUAUCAGAUUGCAUUAUAGAUGUGGUGUUGUGUACCUUAAUAAUUUCUUAUUAAACAGUGGCGAGAGAGCCUGUAUUUAUCUGUGGUGCAAAAUUGCCGCCAGUGCUCUUGCUCACCACUCUAAAUAUAAAGACACUAGGAGGUGUGUUGUUUACUUGAAGCUACCAACUUUGUUUGCUUCCAUGAUAUUUUUCAUCUAAAGCAUGGAGGAGUGUAUAAACUUGAGUUCGUUCGAAAAGCUUAUGUUGUUAUCUCAGAUCCGAUCAUUGCAAGGCAUGUCCUCGGAGAAAACACUUUCAUAUGACAAGGGAGUUCUUGCUGAGAUCCUCCAGCCGAUUAUGGGAAAAGGGUUGAUGCCAGUAGACAUAGAUGCCUGGAAGUUAAGAAGAAGAGCUUAAUCUCAUGAUUCCCUACUAUCUCAAGCGGAGGGGACACAAUCAAGUUGGAUCUUGAAGAAGAAUUCUAGAGUCUCCUCACACUAUAGGGCUUACUCCGCUUACAGUGUUCAACUACGAUUUUUUUUUUGUCACAAGAAGUCCCAUGUCAUUAAGGUUUUUGAUUUUUGAAUAUGCUCUUCACCAAGUUUAUAUAGUAAGCUGAUUCAUUCUUCAGUAUUUCUGUUACAUCAUUGCGGUUUAUAAAACUCUUUUUUUGAGGCA